rnacentral:rRNA from 1 species
GAUGAACGCUAGCUACAGGCUUAACACAUGCAAGUCGAGGGACCGGCGCACGGGUGAGUAACACGUAUCCAACCUGCCCUUUACUCGGGGAUAGCCUUUCGAAAGAAAGAUUAAUACCCGAUAUAAAGGAUGGGGAUGCGUUCAUUUAGGUUGUUGGUGAGGUAACGGCCCACCAAGCCUUCGAUGGAGAGGGGUUCUGAGAGGAAGGUCCCCCACAUUGGAACUGAGGCACGGUCCAAACGCCUACGGGAGGCAGCAGUGAGGAAUAUUGGUCAAUGGGCGGUAGCCUGAACCAGCCAAGUAGCGUGAAGGAGGAAGGCUUAUGGGUCGUAAAUUUCUUGUAUAUAAGAAUAUGUAUUAUAUGAAUAAGGAUCGGCUAACUCCGUGCCAGCCGCCGCGGUAAUAC